AUACGGAGGAUCCGAGCGUUAUCCGGAUUUAUUGGGUUUAAAGGGUGCGCAGGCGGCCAUUUAAGUCAGCGGUUAAAUCGUGGGGCUCAACCCCAUUCUGCCGUUGAUACUGGGUGGCUUGAUUGCGGUCGAGGUUGGCGGAAUUCGUUGUGUAGCGGUGAAAUGCAUAGAUAUGACGAAGAACACCGAUUGCGUAGGCAGCUGACCAGAUCGCAAAUGACGCUCAUGCACGAAAGUGCGGGGAUCGAACAGGAUUAGAUACCCUGGUAGUCCGCACAGUAAACGAUGAAUACUUGUUUUCGGCGAUAUAAUGUCGGAGGCAAAGCGAAAGCGAUAAGUAUUCCACCUGGGGAGUACGCCGGCAACGGUGAAACUCAAAAGAAUUGACGGGG
rnacentral:rRNA from 1 species